UAGCGAAGGGGGGCUAGCGUUGUUCGGAAUUACUGGGCGUAAAGGGCGCGCAGGCGGCCCUCCAAGUCAGGCGUGAAAGCCCCGGGCUCAACCCGGGAAUAGCGCUUGAGACUGGGGGGCUUGAGUUCGGGAGGAGGAGAGUGGAAUUCCCAGUGUAGAGGUGAAAUUCGUAGAUAUUGGGAAGAACACCGGUGGCGAAGGCGGCUCCUCGUCGGACCGACACUGACGGCUGAGGCGCGAAAGCGUGGGGAGCAAACAGG
rnacentral:rRNA from 1 species